UACGUAGGGUGCGAGCGUUGCCCGGAUUUAUUGGGCGUAAAGGGCGCGUAGGCGGUCAGCACAAGUCAGUUGUGAAAUCUCCGGGCUUAACUCGGAAAGGUCAACUGAUACUGUGCGACUAGAGUGCGGAAGGGGCAACUGGAAUUCUCGGUGUAGCGGUGAAAUGCGUAGAUAUCGAGAGGAACACCUGCGGCGAAGGCGGGUUGCUGGGCCGACACUGACGCUGAGGCGCGAAAGCCAGGGGAGCGAACGGG
rnacentral:rRNA from 1 species